AAUCAACGCUGGCGGCGUGCCUCAGACAUGCAAGUCGAACGAUUAAACUUUCCUUCGGGAAAGAUAUAAAGUGGCGCACGGGUGAGUAACACGUAAGUAAUCUACCUUCGAGUGGGGAAUAACGUCCGGAAACGGGCGCUAAUACCGCAUAAUGCAGCGGCAUCGCAAGAUGACAGUUGUUAAAGGAGCAAUCCGCUUGAAGAGGAGCUUGCGGCAGAUUAGCUAGUUGGUAAGGUAACGGCUUACCAAGGCUACGAUCUGUAUCCGGCCUGAGAGGGCGGUCGGACACACUGACACUGAAUAACGGGUCAGACUCCUACGGGAGGCAGCAGUCGGGAAUUUUGGGCAAUGGGCGAAAGCCUGACCCAGCAACGCCGCGUGAGGGAUGAAGUAUUUCGGUAUGUAAACCUCGAAAGAAUAGGAAGAAUAAAUGACGGUACUAUUUAUAAGCUCCGGCUAACUACGUGCCAGCAGCCGCGGUAAUACGUAGGGAGCAAGCGUUGUUCGGAUUUACUGGGCGUAAAGGGCGCGUAGGCGGCCUGACAGGUCACUUGUGAAAUCUCCGAGCUUAACUCGGAACGGUCAAGUGAAACCAAUAGGCUAGAGUGCAGAAGGGGCAAUCGGAAUUCUUGGUGUAGCGGUGAAAUGCGUAGAUAUCAAGAGGAACACCUGAGGUGAAGACGGGUUGCUGGGCUGACACUGACGCUGAGGCGCGAAAGCCAGGGGAGCAAACGGGAUUAGAUACCCCGGUAGUCCUGGCCCUAAACGAUGAAUACUUGGUGUCUGGAAUUAUUAUUGUUCCGGGUGCCGUCGCUAACGUUUUAAGUAUUCCGCCUGGGGAGUACGCACGCAAGUGUG
rnacentral:rRNA from 1 species